UUAAGAGCUUUACAAAAUCCAGACCCGAGCUUCUGACAGAAAUUCAGAGGAGCUGCUAUCUGUGAAGUGGUAUCUGCUGGGAAAACAUCAAAGGAAGAAUGUGAAAGGAAGAAAGUGAAAAAUGUUUCACACCUGAUUCUGGAGUCAGAAGACUACCUGAUUACCCAGCAUAAUUCAUGCACAAUUUAUGCAUAAUAUAAGUUACUUCAGAAGAAGUAACAACCUAGCAGCUACUCUAUAGUUGUUGAUUGGAGGACAACAGUAGUCCAUUUCUUGUUACUGUACACAGCUAACCUUCCAGGGUCUGUGCCAUAACUUUACAUGUGAAUCUGAUAAGAUCUGCACACAACUCACAUACUGGGGAAUUUCCAUGUUAAUUUUUCAGUAUGUACAACCUAUCCUUGGUCUCUAGACCCUUAAGGGAAAUACCUUUACUGAGUUAUGAAAGACUGUUGGCAAACUUUUGA
rnacentral:lncRNA from 1 species